CUACCUGCAGUCGACGCUUGAUUGCACCUUGCUCCUGGACUCGCGGCGGACGGGUGAGUAAUGACUAGGAAUCUGCCUGGUAGUGGGGGACCCGUCCGGAAACGGGCGCUUAUACCGCGGUGUCCUGACGGAUAACGUGUUGGACCUUCUGACCUCACACUAUCAGAUGAUCCUAGGUGUGAUUGAUUAGUUGGCGCGGUAAAGGUCUACCAAGGCGACGAUCCGUAACUGGUCUGAGACGAUGAUCAUACACACUGGAACUGAGAGCGGUCCACACUCCUACGGGAGGCCGCAGUGGACAAUAUUGGAAAUGGGCGAAAGCCUGAUCCAGCCAUGCCGCGUGUGUGAACAAAGUCUUCCCAUUGGAAGCACUUUAAGUUGGGAUGAAGGGCCUCUGUUUAAUACCUUGCUGUUUUGACGUUACCACUGAAAUACCCACCGGCUAACUUCGUGCCAACACCCCCGGUAAUACCAAGGGUGCAACCGUUAAUCUAAAUUACUGGGCGUAAAUCGCCCGAAUGUGGGUCCGCAAGUUGAAUGUGAGAUCCCCGGUCUCUCCCUGGGAACUGCCUCCGGAUCUACUGAGCUAGAGUACUGUAGACGGUGAUGCAAUUUCCUGUGUAACGAUGAUGUGCUUACAUGUAUGAAGGAGCACCGCUGACAAAUGCGACCGCCUGGACUGAUACAGACACUGACGCGCGACAGCGAGUGGAGCAGACGCGAUUAAGAUACGCUG
rnacentral:rRNA from 1 species